rnacentral:rRNA from 1 species
UCGAGAGGCUUCGGCAAUGGGGGAAACCCUGACCGAGCGACGCCGCGUGGGGGAUGAAGGCCCUUGGGUUGUAAACCCCUUUUGUUCGGGAAGAAAUGCGACCAGGUGAACAAUCUGGUCGUUUGACGGUACCGGACGAAUAAGCUCCGGCUAACUCCGUGCCAGCAGCCGCGGUAACACGGGGGGAGCAAGCGUUGUUCGGAAUCACUGGGCGUAAAGGGCGUGUAGGCGGUCAGGUAAGUGAGACGUGAAAUGCCUCGGCUCACCCGAGGAGCGGCGUCUCAUACUGCUUGGCUUGAGUACGGGAGAGGAUGUGGGAAUUCCUGGUGUAGCGGUGAAAUGCGUAGAUAUCAGGAGGAACACCGGUGGCGAAGGCGCACAUCUGGCCCGAUACUGACGCUGAGGCGCGAAAGCUAGGGGAGCAAACGGG